UACGGAGGGGGCUAGCGUUGUUCGGAAUUACUGGGCGUAAAGCGCACGUAGGCGGCUUUGUAAGUUAGAGGUGAAAGCCCGGGGCUCAACUCCGGAAUUGCCUUUAAGACUGCAUCGCUAGAAUUGUGGAGAGGUAAGUGGAAUUCCGAGUGUAGAGGUGAAAUUCGUAGAUAUCGAGAGGAACACCUGCGGCGAAGGCGGGUUGCUGGGCUGACACUGACGCUGAUGUGCGAAAGCCAGGGGAGCGAACGGG
rnacentral:rRNA from 1 species